rnacentral:piRNA from 1 species
UGCAAACACCCACCCUUAGCGGACACCUG